CCCUCUGCUCCUUAUCUGGAGGAGUGAGGGCUGGCUGACAAGGGAGGGUGAGCUGGGCCAGGGAUGCAGCCCAGUCUAUGGGGGCAGGACAGGGACUCCCCCCAAGGCAAACCCCGGCUGGGGUCUGGAACCAAGGAGCGGGGUUAAAUAUCCCUUCCCCUGCUAAAAUUUACUGCGGACUUUGACUGUGGACUACAAAUCCCAAAAGCACCUGGAAACAGGAAGAGGAAGUGAUAAGCAAUUCUGUAGAGUUCUGCAAUCCUGGACUUCAAAUCCCAGAGUUCUCAGGGGAGCAGGAAGAGGAAGUGAACACACAGUCAGAGAGCUGUGCUGUAGCACCCACUGGCUUCUGAUCUAAACUGCUGCAGGCAUGUGGCUGUAUUUCCUGAAUCAAAGCUGCUCAGUAGCACCCCUUUGGGUAUCUGUUGCCUUGCCAUCAGAUGGAUGGAAUGAAGAAGUAUGUGAUGAGCACAGCAAGGACUCUACAAAAGGCACAGGACAGCAGCUGCUUACUGUGACAACUUACCUCCAGCUAAGUGGAAAGAUGAGCAGCUGCUUGCAGAACCAAAGCCAAUCUUCUGCCUGGAUCAGUUGGAGAUGGUUCCUGUGAAAGUGAGGGCUGCAGUAAACGAUAUGUACUGAAUUAAUUGUACCUAUCACCAACCUCUUUCCAAAACUUACUGGGAAAUAUAUCUAUUUCUGCAACAACAAAAAAUCACCCACUAAUCAUCUUUUGAAGGUUAAAGGGAUUUAGAAAAUCAGAUCAGUCUAUUCAUAGGAGCUAUAGCACAGCUGAUGAGUUUAAAAAAAAUUCAAAUUACAUUUGUUUCCUUUCAAACUGCCUUCAGUCAAGUUUUUCAGAAAGUGUGUGUAUAUGCGUGUGGCUUUUGGUUUGUUUUUUUGUUGUUGUUGUUGGGUUUUUUUGUUGUUGUUAUUCUGGCGAUUUGGGGAUGAGUCAUUUUGUGAUUCAUUCUAUUCAGCUGCAUAAAUAAUAUUACAAAUCUGAUAGAGGAAUAAGCCGCCGUUCAGUAAUAUUUGGAUCUUUCCCCUCUCCUCUAGCUAAGGGUCCCCCACUUUAUCAUUCUUCUCUUUUGACUUCAAGGGAGGUUGAAGCUCCAUCAAAUCCCAUAACUUCUUGGGUGUGGGCAGCUUGUCUAGCCUCCUAACAGUGAGAGUGGAUAGGCAUGAAUUCCUGUUGUUCUUUCCUUUAACAUGGCCCAUUAAUUUUGGAGGCUCCAGACACUUGAUUGCAGUAGUUCAAGUAUGUCAAAAUACUACAGGGAUCCCCAUGAUUCACUCUCAGGAUUGAGGACUUAGAUGGGAGGUUAGGGGUUGUCUUGUGGCAAACUGAAAUACCAGGUACAAAAUCUUGCUUUUUAAAACAUCUUCCAACAAACAUUUUGGGGGAAAAUUAAUGUAAAAAAUAAAACUGACUCCCUAAUUUUGGCACUAAUUUGUUAUAUGGGGAUGCAGCGUAAUAUCUCCUGUGAUGAUAAGAAAAGGAGAGGGGAGAAUGCAGAAAGAAGCAAUUGACCUGAAAGUAGUUUGUUCCUGUAAAAGGGUUCAUACACAGCCAAACGCAUGUAUGAAUAUUCUGUACGUUGCAUGUUCUGGCUGGGGUCACAUCUCUGACACUGUUCUGUUAUACUGGUAUAAUUCAGAUUUGUCUUGGAUGGAGACUCUGUAGAGACAGCAAAUGAAUAUAGAGGUUCUGGGAGUUCUUUGCCAAAAAAUGUUGAACUUUUUUGCUGCAUGAUGCAGUAAGAUGUUUCAAAUGACAGAGUUAUUAUUCUUAUUAGAAAUAAUACCACCCAUCUUUCCUCAGAGAGAGACGGAGAAGUCCCAAUUGCUCCUUUCUUUAAGCUGAUCAUGGUGUUGCUUUUCCACUGAUCAAUUUCUGAGAGCCACAGGAAUACCUCAAGUAGAUGCCAGCUUCUCUUAACAAUCCCAAAUCAGAUUUUGGAACCUGGUUAUUUGUGAAAGGGAUUCAAAGUCAUGGCUUCCUACCUUUGCAGGGGAAUGGACUCCAAGGGCCAGGUGGCCCUUUCUAGUUCCUCUGCCAGGAAGCCCUCACAGAGUAGGAAGAAGAGGAGGAGGAACUUUAUAGACACACUAUUUCUCCAGUCCAAAGAGAAAUGGAGUGGGAACUCUAUCAUUGGUUUAAUAAAAGAGGGGAGCAAUAGCCCCUUUCCAGAGAGCACAUUUAGUUUAAGGAAAUAUGCCUAUUCUUAUGCUAGAUGAGGAAUUUCCGUAGGCCCAGCGCUCUUUAUUUCUCAACCCCAAAUUAAGGGUCAGUCCAUUCUCACUACUGUGGGGGUUUUCAGCACUACUCUGGGAUUCUUCCACUUUUUUUCCAGCACUGUCUGAUCUAUCUGACUGGCAUCUCUGGAGAAACAGGAUAUUUCAGGUCACACAUUGCUUUAUGAGAAAGCAAGCUCAUGAGAUGUUCUUGAAGACUUCAUGGCCAGGUACAGACAUUAUACAUUUACCUGAAUAAGUGAUCUGAAACUGGUCUAUACCCAGAACACAAGUUCAGCACAAAGACUGGCUUAAAAAUGAUAGACCCUGGUCUAGGAUUCUGUCUUCCUCUCCCCCUAACCAAAAGCCAAAUGUGUGUUCUGUUAGCUACUGAUCUAAACUACACUGCUUACAGAAAACUCUCCAUCUUAGAUCGAUUCCACCUCGGGCUUUUUGAAUGUCUGUACCUAGCCCAGGAGGGCAGAGGCCAUAGGAAGCCAUCAACUUGCCUCUUGUUAUCACAAACUCUUGCAGAAUAGAUCUAGGUGAGUGAAGGGCAUCUGGAACCUCUCAGGGCAGAACAAUCAAUGAGCUGAGGGAGUCCUGAUUUAAUUCUUUAUUCCCAUGAGGAAUAGAGCAUGGGGGAAGAAUGUUCUUCCUUUUCCCUCUACAUCAUACAAAGGAAUUGCUGGGGCAAUGUGCUUCUCCCCCAGGAGGCUAGGAAAUGGGUCACCAGCUGUUGGAGGAGUCUUCUCUCCCAUCCUCUUAUGCUUGGGAAUAGGAAAGGAGCUGGUCUGCAGGCCAAGCAGAGCAGCUGCUGCUGCAGUUGGCAAGAGUCAGGAUGGGUGAUUUACAUGUUCAACCAUACAAAUUCAGCUAAAAAUUACUUAGCUGAAUUCAGAUGGCCAAAUAUUGUCAGUAUUUGUGUUACUCAGCAUUUCCUUUUCAUUCUGUUCACCUGUGUCUUGCUGUAAAUUAUUCUGUGGGCUAGAGGGUGAGCUGCAGUAUACAUCUUUCCACACAUGGGCAAAGAGAUUACAAUACAUCAGUGCAGUGUAUCUGUAACUUUUAAAACUAGAAGAGCAUUUUGGAACUCAUGGUUUCAUAAUAUGACAUUUUCUUGGCAAAAAUAUUUGUUGUUUCCUUUAAUAGACACACUAUAAACAGGAAGAGGAGCUCAAAUAGGCAUUUUAAAAGGGUCACAACAUUGAAGUAAUGUGAUGCCAUUUUUUGCCUUCAUGACAUUGGUCUUGAGAUGGGUUAAAUGUGCCACUCUCAGUUGUGUGACUGUUAUCUUUGACACUGGAAUGAGUUAUCACAGAAUGGUAAUGCCUCUCAUGUUCUCUUCAUUAUACAUUCUCAUUUUCAUGACAAAGACUGUAAGGGGAACAGAAAAUGGUGCACAAUUAAUACAUUCUCCUGACAAUCUGGAGAUGGUAUUGCAUGGUCCUAGACAGAAGGCACAGCUGGGGACAUUGACAACAGCAUGUGCACAGCUGCUUGUUUUACAAAGUUUGAAAGAUUUUCCUAGUAGUCUUGAGUGUUUGUGUGUGUGGGUUCGGGUGUAUGUGGAUGUGGCCAAAGUGCGGCAUCUAAAUAUGUUAUUUUUAGUAUAUAAAAUAUUAUUUGGGAUUGUACAUAUGUCAUAAAGUUUUUCAAAAACUGCAUAAAGGACUUGUGAGAAAUGAUAAAUAUGGAUCAUAUAUGCCAUGAUGUAAAUAUUAAAGUUUUUAUAUUGAAUGCUCCAAUAGAUUAUCAUCAUUGUUAUCAUCCAUGGACAGCCAGUAUAGUUGACGUGCUCAUUUGUGUUUUAAAAUCUAAAUAAUAGGUCUUGAUUAGGUGGUGAGCAAAUUGAGCUUUACUGUUGUCUUUGGCUUCCUCAGAUUAUCACAAAACUAUACCCCACAAAAAAUCCCUGUGAGGGAAGACCAAAAACAAAAGAUAUUGCAUAGUACUGUACUUGCCCUGUGGAGUUAAAGAAACUGCUCUAUAGUUGCACUGCUAUUGGUCUCUUACUAUUCAAAACUUUGGCAUGCAUCAGUGAAUAAAGAAAAAAAAAUUAUGUAGCAGAAUAAGUGAGAGAAGAUUUUCUUUUAUAACCUCUCUGUUUAAGAAAGUCCCAGUUCUAUACAUCUUUAAAAAAUUCAAAAUCAUACAGUGAUACUCUUAGGUUUCUAUAUCUAAGUUUUGUCUCUCAAAGAUGACAUUUUUAGGGGUUGCUUUGUAGAAAAAGAAAAAAAAAUCUCUAAGCAAAACCAAAACAAAACAAAAAAGCAAAGGACUAAAAUUAUCAAAGCCAGGCAGUUCUGUUGCAGAUCAGUGAUACUAGCUCUAAUGAACAAGAGCUGAAUGGAUGCAUGUAGCUAGCUGAGACUGGGAUUCCCCCAGAAGAGGCUGCUGUAUGCAUUUCUAAAGAUUACUAUACUGAUGAAUUCAUAGAUAGUGUCAGCACUCAAAUAAAAACUAAUUUCUGUGGAAAAAUAAAAGCAUGUACUGUAUUUUAGAGACUGCUGUUUUAGACUGUUGUUCUUGUAGAAAAUACAAAUGAUAAGAGACACUAGGAGAUUCUAGACAUAUGGAAUAUUGACAGAAACCCUGAAAGAGGGUGAGUUUUACAAUAUAGAACAGUUGUUUUAAAAUUAUGACCAGCAUACAACUUGGGCAAAUGUAUGUGUAUGCUAGUACAGUUGUUUGGUAGCAGUGUGAAAUUUUCAAAUUUUCUCCACCAGCAAAAGCACUGAUAUAGAGACAGUUACUUUGGCAAACAGUGUUUUUACCAAGAUAGCUUAUUUUCUUUGGGAAACUAUAGCAACUAUAGUAUAGAAAAAUACUAGGCCUCAGAAUAAGUAAUCAGACCAAGCUCUAGUCGCAUAUGAAGGAUCAGGGGUUGAUUUUUGUGUAAAUCUCCUGUUACUGUUUGCAGGGAUGUCCCUGAGGGGAGUGAAUUGGGGUGACUGCUCUGGGCCCUGUGCUUUGGGGGGGCCCCACUGCAGCAGUGGCGCAGAGCUAGGCGGAGCGGGAGCUCCACGUCCAGCCCCUCGCAACUCGCCCCCACUCCUGCUGCCAAUGCCGCUGCUGCCGACAGCAGCACCAGCUUCUUCGGAUCUGGGAUUGGAGUGCGGCCGGGGCCCUGCAUGGGCUGACUUGUCCCUGGCCCCGCACCCUGCUCGGGUCAUCUCUGACUGUUUGUACAAUGAAAGCCUAAGACUACUACAUGGGUAUUGGAUUCAGAAGCUAGAGAGAAGCCAGUGCCCCAUGUCACUGAGCAAUAAAUAAUAGACUAAUGCUGCCGGGCAUUCUGCCUUCUCUAGGUGGGAAGAGAGCAUGGAUCCUCUAUGUUGAAGGAGUAGGGAGAAAAUGUGGUGAGAUGGAAGUAGUGGUUUAGCACGUGGACUCAAAGGAGAAGAUUUAAGAUGGAAGAUUAAAGCAAAGGCUUUUCAAGAUGGUUGGAAAUACAGUUGUUAGGCAGGGGAAAAAAAGUCAGCGAAAGAAAUGGUCAUUAUACACAGAAAACAGGAAACGCACUGUAUAUCCCAUGCUAAUUUUGACCCAAACUCUAAAAGAAUUUAAGAAGAAAAGAUUGGUAUUUUGAAAUAUAUAUUUUUUAGAGUUUUAAUAAUUAAAUUACACUGAGAAUACUCUCUAGUUUAGAAAUAUAUUUGUUGAAGAAAAGGAGAACAGAAACUGAAAACAGUAGUUUUAAGGCCCCCAGGGCCAAAAGAAGACAUGAAAUGUUCACUUUGUGACCUGAAAGGACAAGUAGUAGAUCAAAGACAUGGUUUUGCAUUAGAAUUGAAGGGAAAGGGGAUAGAUGUCUCAGAGCUUGUAAUCAAUAAACAGUAGCAUGCUGAUUUAUAAUGCCACAGUAGGAUUCAGAUGAUGACACCUUCAGAAAUGAAAGCCAAAGAAAAAAUGGCAGAAAAAGAUAAGCAACCAUGACACAAGAGUGAUAGAACCGAAAAGUGGAAUGUUUAUUUAGUCUCAGACUCAAUGCAUCUUUGAGACUAAAAUUUGAAGAUGACUUGGAAAAUAAGUUACUGCAUUAAAAAAACGACAGGUUUGCAAUAUAUCUGGCAAAGCAGCAAAAAUAUACAGAGAAAUAGUUUUAAAUGGUCAAAUAAAAAUGCAAUAGCUUGCUUUAUUUUUAGUCCUCCUUUUAAAAUUUGUCUCAACACUGUUGAAUUUUUAAGCACUCUGGAAGCAGGCUUAGGUCUUCCUUGGUGAGAGCAUUACCACAGAAAUGUAAUAUAUGUGUUCCGUAUGGUUUCUUGCAUUAUGUGUGUGGGUUGUGGUUGUUGCUUGAGUUCCCAUGAUUACUGAGUGAGGAAGUUGGGUAUAAUUCCUGGCAGUGUGGUAGUUUAUCCAUUACAUUAAAGAACAGCUCCUAUUUCAAAAUGUUUUUCUGAGAUCAUUACAAAAAUAAAAAACAAAUGGCAAGGUUAUCAGCUCUCAUUACCAAUUGCCCAGCAAAUGUAAAAACACUAAAAAUAGCCACAGGAAGCAAUAAUUUCUAUGACAAAUUAUAGAGCUGUUUACUUAGUGUGCUAAGUAAUAUAUUUUUGAUCAAAGAUAAACAGUUUAAAAAGUUACAUUUGUUGUGUUGUGGAGGAAAAAGGAAAUUGCUAUUCCCUGCAGGCUGAUGUACCUUGUAAAGCAAUCUGUCUUCAAACCCAGAAUGAAAGAGAGCCAAAAAAACUCUCUGAAUUACAUGACGAGGCCCUUGAGAUGCUGCUAGUUGCUUUUUACUGUGGAGGACCACAGAUGUCUCAUGUUGUGGGUCAGACUGUGCAUUUUCCUUGUUUUUUAAAACAUAUUGCAAAGCAGUCUUGAUUUUUAUAUGUC